AGCGAACGCUGGCGGCAGGCCUAAUACAUGCAAGUCGAACGGUCUCUUCGGAGGCAGUGGCGGACGGGUGAGUAACGCGUGGGAACGUGCCCUUUGGUACGGAACAACUGAGGGAAACUUCAGCUAAUACCGUAUGUGCCCUUCGGGGAAAGAUUUAUCGCCAUUGGAGCGGCCCGCGUUGGAUUAGCUAGUUGGUGGGGUAAUGGCCCACCAAGGCGACGAUCCAUAGCUGGUCUGAGAGGAUGAUCAGCCACACUGGGACUGAGACACGGCCCAGACUCCUACGGGAGGCAGCAGUAGGGAAUCUUGCGCAAUGGGCGAAAGCCUGACGCAGCCAUGCCGCGUGAACGAUGAAGGUCUUCGGAUUGUAAAGUUCAAUAAGUGGGAAAAAAUAAGACCCGUAAGGGUGAUGAUGGUACCCAUCUAAAGCACCGGCUAACUACGUGCCAGCAGCCGCGGUAAU
rnacentral:rRNA from 1 species